UACAGAGGUCUCGAGCGUAGGCGGAAUCACUGGGCUUAAAGCGUGUGUAGGUGGAUCGUUAAGUACCUUGUGAAAUCCCACGGCUUAACCGUGGAACUGCUUGGUAUACUGGCGGUCUUGAGCCAGCUAGGGGCUACCGGAACAAAUGGUGGAGCGGUGAAAUGCGUAGAGAUGCGGAGGAACACCGAUGGCGAAGGCAGCCCCCUGGGCUAGCCACUGACGCUCAGGCACGAA
rnacentral:rRNA from 1 species